CUGAAAAUUAAAUGUGUAGAUAAGAGUUUAAAAAUUACAGUGAACCAGGUUUGCUAAAGUAAUUUUGGUGAUAGAAAUGUAUUAGCCUCAGAAGCUACUGAGGUGGUUCAUUCUAUCCUAGUACAGUG
rnacentral:snoRNA from 1 species